AAUUAAUAAGGAUAUUUUUUUGACAUUUGUGGGACUGCUGUUCAGUGUGGUAUAUAUGACUUAAGGACACAAAUAUAGGUUGUCCUAGAUAAAGUUGGAGACAGUUUUGGUUUGGGAUGUGUAAAGUAGGAAAGUGCCACCAUUAGGGGGCCACUUUUUUGGAAUUAAGACAUCUAUUAAAAAGGUGUAAUACUUUUUUGGGGGCUGAGUAAAAAUAAAUAAAUAAAGUUAAUUUUCUAAAGCAGCAGGAUCAUAUCUCAGGCAAAUGGUUAGUUAGACAGCUACAUUAUGGCUGGGGAACUGAGAUUCUGGGGAAUUGUCCACGAAGUCCAACUCCUCUGCGCCAAGGAGAAAGACUUCGAAACAACCUAUACUUUGUUCUGUUACUCUAAUAGAAGGGAAAGAGUGACCUGCAUGUCAAUUUAUUUUGUUUCAGAUAGGACAGGGCAAGACCAGAAUCCUAAACCCCAGCUUUGCCCCAGGCUGCAUUAGGGAAGACACCAGCGACUUCUUGCAGAGCGCUCACUGCAUUGGACUGCUUCUGCUGAUUUCAACACGACCCACAUGACAACUACUGAGAAAAACAGAUGACCCUGGACCAAUGUUGAAAUGAAGACUUCUUCUGCUCCAGCACAGGAUGGCAGCGGGCCUACCGUAGCUGAUGGGUGGCUGAAGCAAAAAUAUCCCUGGCAGCUAAUAAAAAGCUCAUGUUUGCAACCAAGUCCAUUCCACAGGGAGCAAACAGCCCCACCAGGAGAAGAGCAGGAGCUGGCAGGUGUUUCCAGGGAACAGAUCAGGUCCCAUGGCACACAACUCUCACCAGUGACAGACUCUUUUUCAACAUUUCCUCCAUCUACAAAUACGAGGCUGUGUCCUUCAAAAAUCUCUUUCAUUUUAAUUACCUCAUUCAUUCAGCUCACGGCUGUGUCCCCAGGCCCUCCUGUGCCUCUGCAGCUCCACAGAGAGCAGGGCACCCACUGUGUACACCCCACCCUGCCUCUGGUGGCAAAGACAAGGAGUGAGCUUUUGGAAGCACGCCUGUAAGGGUGUCCACAGGGUGUGGGCCAUGUGUGCACAUCCUUCUGUGAGUGUUGAAACCUCAGCUGAUGUUAGAAAAAGGAGAGAAAUACAGACAGCCUGUGGUGAAGGAAUGUUUGGUUUUUAGUGUGUGUACAAUUACUUAAAAAAAAAAAAGUGUUUAGGGGAUCUCUGUUUGACAUGUGGGUUUACACCAUUGGUGAAUAAAUUCAAUGUCAGGUGAUAACCUUCCUCA
rnacentral:lncRNA from 1 species